rnacentral:rRNA from 1 species
CUGCGGAAGGAUCAUUACCGAGUUUUCGAGCUUCGGCUCGACUCUCCCACCCUUUGUGAACGUACCUCUGUUGCUUUGGCGGCUCCGGCCGCCAAAGGACCUUCAAACUCCAGUCAGUAAACGCAGACGUCUGAUAAACAAGUUAAUAAACUAAAACUUUCAACAACGGAUCUCUUGGUUCUGGCAUCGAUGAAGAACGCAGCGAAAUGCGAUAAGUAAUGUGAAUUGCAGAAUUCAGUGAAUCAUCGAAUCUUUGAACGCACAUUGCGCCCCUUGGUAUUCCGGGGGGCAUGCCUGUUCGAGCGUCAUUACAACCCUCAAGCUCUGCUUGGAAUUGGGCACCGUCCUCACUGCGGACGCGCCUCAAAGACCUCGGCGGUGGCUGUUCAGCCCUCAAGCGUAGUAGAAUACACCUCGCUUUGGAGCGGUUGGCGUCGCCCGCCGGACGAACCUUCUGAACUUUUCUCAAGGUUGACCUCGGAUCAGGUAGGGAUACCCGCUGAACUU